rnacentral:rRNA from 1 species
AUUGAACGCUGGCGGCAGGCCUAACACAUGCAAGUCGAGCGGAUGAAGGGAGCUUGCUCCUGGAUUCAGCGGCGGACGGGUGAGUAAUGCCUAGGAAUCUGCCUGGUAGUGGGGGAUAACGUCCGGAAACGGGCGCUAAUACCGCAUCCGUCCUGAGGGAGAAAGUGGGGGAUCUUCGGACCUCACGCUAUCAGAUGAUCCUAGGUCGGAUUAGCUAGUUGGUGGGGUAAAGGCCUACCAAGGCGACGAUCCGUAACUGGUCUGAGAGGAUGAUCAGUCACACUGGAACUGAGACACGGUCAAGACUCCUACGGGAGGCAGCAGUGGGGAAUAUUGGACAAUGGGCGAAAGCCUGAUCCAGACAUGCCGCGUGUGUGAAGAAGGUCUUCGGAUUGUAAAGCACUUUAAGUGGGGAGGAAGGGCAGUAAGUUAAUACCUUGCUGUUUUGACGUUACCAACAGAAUAAGCACCGGCUAACUUCGUG